GGGCCCGCACAAGCGGUGGAGCAUGUGGUUUAAUUCGAUGCAACGCGAAGAACCUUACCAGGACUUGACAUACUACGAAUUCUUCUGAGAAGAAGAAGUGCCUUCGGGAAUGUAGAUACAGGUGGUGCAUGGCUGUCGUCAGCUCGUGUCGUGAGAUGUUGGGUUAAGUCCCGCAACGAGCGCAACCCUUAUUUUUAGUUACUAAUUCGUUAGGUUCUCUAGAAAGACUGCCGGUGACAAACCGGAGGAAGGUGAGGAUGACGUCAAGUCAGCAUGCCCCUUAUGUCCUGGGCUACACACGUGCUACAAUGGUUAAGACAAAGAGUCGCGAGCUCGCGAGAGUCAGCUAAUCUCAUAAACUUAGCCUAAGUUCAGAUUGUUCUCUGCAACUCGAGAGCAUGAAGUCGGAAUCGCUAGUAAUCG
rnacentral:rRNA from 1 species